UACGUAGGUGGCAAGCGUUGUCCGGAUUUAUUGGGUUUAAAGGGUGCGUAGGCGGUCUAUUAAGUCAGUGCUGAAAUAUCCCGGCUUAACCGGGAGGGUGGCAUUGAUACUGAUGGACUUGAGUGCAGUCGAGGUAGGCGGAAUUGACGGUGUAGCGGUGAAGUGCUUAGAUAUCGUCAAGAACACCGAUAGUGAAGACAGCUUACUAGACUGUAACUGGCGCUGAGGCACGAAAGUGUGGGGAUCAAACAGG
rnacentral:rRNA from 1 species